CCCCCUCCCCCUCCUCCCCCUCCCCUCUCUCUCCUCCCCCUCCUCCCCCUCCUUCCGCAUCCCGGGGCUGCGGGCGGCUCCUCGCCUCGCCGUGCGCAGAUCUGGCCCGAGUGUGGUUCCAAGGCGCCGGGUCAAGAAUUCCGGCGAGGAAGGCUGCGGGGCCCUGGCCGAGCCGCGGCCGCCCCCUCCCCACCGCCCCCACCGCCCCCUUCUCCCCCCUCACCGCCGCCCGGCGCUGACAGCGGGGCCUGCGCCCCCCAGGCCGCCGUUAGUGGACGAGCACUGGGUUUUCGAAGCUGAUCCCAGCUAAAAGGACAGCGGGAUGUUUUAUUUUAAAGAGGAAAAUGAGGGCGGAAAAGGGACCGGGGGCGGAGAGGAAAGGGGCGGCGAGAGCCACGGAGAUAAAGUUCGCGGCGACGGGCAUGUGACGCAGGUUCCCCUAGGGAAGAAUUUGAAAUUUGGAUACCUGCGCGGGAGUAGGAAAGCCUCAAUGGUAGAAGCUGAAGCUGAGGCUGCCUCCAAGGAAUUCUUCCUGCUGGGCCUGGGCUAAGGCUUCCCUUCUAUUGGGGAAGGAGCUUGGAGGAUGGCCAAAGAGUCUUUCCUGAGGGGAGCCCUGAGGAAGGAGCCUGUGUGGGGAGUAGAAGCAGAAGCGAGCUCCUUGAAUGCCCUUUCCGUAGACCAGCCCGCGUCCCUUGGCGUGGGUGCUUGGCUCAUUUCUGGUUUCCCAGCCAGCCCUUGGAGCUCUUGGCUACUUCUAGGCUACCUUUCCCAGCCUGCUGCUCAGGCCGGCUUGCCGCUGCAAGGCCCUGUGCCCCAGAACUUUCCUGGCCCGUGUGCCUCUUCUGGAAACCUUUCCCGGGGACGGGAAAGGCAAGUCCAGGCUGGGAGACCCAAUGGGCAAUCGAGGUAUUUGCCUUUGGAAAGAGAUCAUCUCCAAACAAUUCCCCCAUCCCAAGUCUGGCUUUUGGACAGGGGAACUUGAGGCUUUGCUGUGGCGAAACAGUGAGGGAGGCACUUUGGGGUUUCAGCACCUCUUAAAUCAUCUCCCAGAGAGAGCCACUUACUUCCUCAUGCACAGGCUGCCGCUGGCUCUGUCGCAAGAAGAUGAAGUACAAGUAAUAAAAUCAGGAUGGAGUUCCGUGUAAAUCUUUCCAGCUCAUAAAGAUUGUAGAAAGUUGGAGAUGAAAGGGAUGUUAAAGAUCCUCUGGUUCUGUCUCGUCACUGUGCAGCUGGUAGAAGCGGAGACCCAGGGAGGUGGACCGAGGUCCCUAAGCUCACACAGCUGCUCCAUGGCCGGAGAUUGGCCAGCUGUCCGUGGCUAUUGCACUACGCCCUUCCUGCCUCACUGGUCAUACAGCAUCUUCUGAGUUUUGAAAACUGUGAAGGAAAAAACCCAAUCCUCCAGCAUCUUCACCUCCCUGUACUUUUACUGUUUCCAGCUGCUAAAAAUUGGCACUUUUGAAAGUGGGUGGGCCUGCCGGGCAUGGAGGAAGGGUCAUUGCCCUGGAGAGUGCUGAUUUAGAGGCGUGGAGAACAGGUCAGUGAUUGGAAGACAAAAUUGCCAGCCUCUUCCCUCGCACCCGGCGAUUCCUGACUUUCAAUGCCUGGCACGUGUCCUCAGCUGAUACUAACCCACAGCGGCAAUUGCUACCUCCAGUCACCUGUGCAUUUGCCCUCUAGAGCUGGGAAGCUUGAAGAAAUGCCUCGUCUAUUCUAGUCGGCCUUAGAUGGAAAGAUGUUUUUAUCUGGUGGAGGACUUCAGAGGGGCAUAAUAUGUAGUUAGCACCUUCGAUGAUCUCCAGGAUCUUUCAGGGGACCUGAUCCUUGAGAAGAAAACCUCAUAGAUGAUUCUCCUGGUCUUUGUCUUAGUUAAGACCUUUGAUUUGCAAGUAACCAACUUGCACUGAUUGAGCAUUAAGUGGAAAAGUAUAAAAACGGUCUCAUGAGGCCCAACAGCGACAGGGCAGAUGGCCCCAGGGCAGUCUGGGGAUCUGACAGAAUGCAAAAGUACUUCUCCUGUGUUCUCUGCUUCAUCUCUCUCAGCAAUCAGUUUUCUUGCCUGCGUCUGUAUGGGCAGCCAGGUGGAAGAUGAACCCUUAUCAACUACUCCAUUUACAUCUCUAAUAAAGAGAUUAGCCAAGGAUGACUGGCUCCCCUCUGCCCAAUGCCAGAGUCUCAGGAGAGAGAGUCUGAGUGGCCCACCUGCGCCAGGGCUGCUAUAACACAUUACCAGCAACUGGGCAGCUUAAAACAAUGGAAAUGUCCUCUUUCAUCUUUCUGGAGGCCAGCGCCUGAGAUCAAGGUGUCCACAGGGCCCUGCGCCCGCUGAAGUCUCAAGAAACAAAUGUUUCCUAGCCUCCUCCUGGCUCCUGGCAGCUUCUGGAGAUCCCUGGACUUCCUUGGCACCACUCCCGCCUCUGUGUCCCUCUGUGCUCUCCUCGUAUAAGGAUGUGGUCAGUGAAUUUAGGACUCUCCCUAAGACAGGAUGGUCUCAUCUCAGUCCCUAACUAAUGACAUCUGCAGAGACCCUACCUGCAAAUACGAUCACAUUCUGAGGUUCCAGGUGGAUGUGAAUUUUGAGAGGAUAUUAUUCAACCUUCUAGAAUAGUAAAAAAGAAGGCAGCAAGUGCUUGGCUUGGCAUUGUCUGAUGCUCCGUCAGCCUCGGGCCUGGAAGGAGAAGUUCAUGUGGGUGAAAGAGAAGUGCCAAGAGAAAACAUGAACUGUAAGGUGUGAGGCACCCAAGGUCAUUCCAGCCACUCUGCUGGAAUUUGAAAGAAGCGUCUCUGGAACCCUUGCUCUUAACCUUCUCCCAAGGAAUAUGAUCUUAAAAAAAAAACCUAAAAACCUCCUUUAGUAGUUGCAUGUGAUAAUGAUGUAGUAUGUUUUUUAAACGUUUCAAGCUGUUUUCACUUCCAUUACCUCUUCUGCUCAGCAGGCAUGAUGGUAACUAAAAUUGUGAAGUGCAUCUUGUAAAGACCAGAUUUGGAAAAUCAUAGGCACAGUCACACACACUCCCUUUUCCAGUGAGUUGUUCACAGAUGCCUGCUGGAGCAAACUCAGAGCCCCAGGAGAUUUUCCUUCUCUCUGGGAUGAAUGUAGGUGGUGGGGUGUUUUAGCAACACUUUCCUUUUCAUGCCCUUUUCCCGAACACGAUGCAGUCGAUACCCUUUUGAAGUUUAAUUACACCUUCAGCAUUGCAUUGCAUGAGGUAUUUUACUCGUGGCUGGGUUUUUGGAGGCCAAGUGCACAUCAGGUAUGGCAUGUUUAUCUUGGAGGUGAGACUUGAGAGGCAAGUUCCUAACCUUGAAUGUGGUCUGACGUACAUAUUACCUCCCCACCUGGGAUCCCAACCUAAGUACACAGGGAGCCAAGAGAAAAUUUUAUGAGUAAAGGAAAGUGAGAAUCCACUCUCCACUACCCUGGAUGAAGGUGAGGAGGUUAAAGUGCAACCGUCUAUCAUUCCCGGGGGGUUUAGGCCUAGAUGUCCCCCCCACUGCCUCCCCACUCACUGUCCUGCAGUGGGGGAAACAGAAUGGUCGGCAAAUUGCCACUUUCACUGCAAUUUGUCUCUGCAGGCUCAAGUGCAACCUUUCAGCAUCGAGUUGAAACCAGAACGAGUUGCUAACACACGGGACAGUUUUGUACUUGUGAGACAUGUUGGCGUGGCCUAGGAGGCCCUUUGAAAUUGGUUCCCAAGCCCCCUUCCUAUUCUCGUACCUGCCACACCCACUCUGCAGCCAGGGCAGACGGCCUGCACCUCUGCCUGUUCCCCCUAACAACUCACCUGGGGAAGUCCUCCUUUGAGGUUUCCUCCAAACACCACCUGGGCCAAACCUUCUACUGUACCCCCCCCCCCUCCCAGAACACCACCCCCUUUACAAAUUCCAGAUCUCUCCUUCAGCACUUCCAAGUCCCUGUCAUGUCCCCUGGGCUGGUUUGAAGCUGUUAUGUCCCCCAUAAAAGGCCAUGUUCUUUUAAUCCAGUCUGUGGGGGCAGAUCUAUUGAAGGUGGGACCUUUUGAUUGGAUUGUUUCC